GAGUGCACAGUUGCUUACAGCCUACAGCUGCCAGAGCGCUGAGUGUCCCUCCAGCUCAUGAGGUCACCUCCUGCAGUGUCAUAACCCAUACUGGAGAGUUGUUGGUAGCCCAGGAGUAGUUGGGACAGCCCAGACCAGAUCUGGCCAACAGUCUCACCUUCCCAGGCUGGCUGCUCCACCAAACUACAGCAGUCUUAGAAAACCUAAUGAGAGCCAGUUGUAGUGGCCGCUGGCAAACUUCCUCAGAGUCGUUGAUUGGUCAGUGGCCGAGAGCUGUAGCCAAUCAGCGCGGUGUUUGGGCCCGCAUUUCGGACCAAAGGUCCGAGUAGGCGUCUGGCGGGCACAGUGGCCUGCAGAGACUCAAGGUAUGGAGGGCAGAGCCAGGGAGGGGUGAGCAUGUCUUGGGACCGGACAGCCAGGCGUCUGGCACCGCCAUCACCGCUAUCGCUGCUCCUGGUGCUGGUGCUGCUGUCACGAGCCGGGACUCUGCAUCCUGAAUAGCUCUUUCCUUACGGGGAGUCGUGGGGAGACCGGCUGCUGCAGGAGGGCGACGUUGAAAGCUCCGCGGCUGUGAAGCUAGCAGUACGUAGAAGUAGCUUCUAUGGUGUCCAGUUCAGCAACCUCUACGUGAGCACCAAUGGGAUCAUCUCCACCCAGGACUUACCCAGGGAGACUUAAUAUGUCGUUGAUGAUUUUCCUACUGACUUCCCAGCCAUCGCCCCAUUCCUGGCUGACAUCCACUCGAGUCACAGCAGUGGCCGGAUCCAGUAUGGAGGACACCUCCUGGGCUGUGCUGAGUCUGGCUGCUUGCUACCUGUGCACAGGCUUCCCCCCUACCCACUUCUUCCUGGCCACCUGGGAGCAAGUGGGCGCCUAGGAGGAGGACAGGCUUGGUUGGGGCUGAGUGGUCUGGAGAGCUAUAGGAUCUUACCAUCACAUUCUGAUGGGUAGCCCUGAGCAAUGAGAAUUGACAACUCUGGUAUCAUCUCUGUGACAUCCUCGACCAACAACUUGAGAGCAAGGUGUCCUACAUCUGGCUCUGGACUUUUUGAGAACUUGUAGCCAAUGGAAGGAGAAUUACCCACCUUGUAACGUUCGUUCUGAACACUUUCCAGGCCGUUCUGGCAUCCGAUGAAUGUGAUUCCUAUGCCCUCUUUCUCUAUCCUGCCAAUGGUCUUCAGUUUUUGGAACUCACCCCAAAGAAUCCUACAGUGUCCAGCUGCAGCUUCCUGCUAAGGUGGGAUUCUGCCAAGGGGAAGCAGAUGACGUGAAGAGAAAAGCCCUGUAUUUCAGCCUGACUAACAGUGAGCAGUAAGUGAAGAAUCUCUACCAGUGAGUAAUGUGGAGUGUGUGACUGUGCUAUGCACUGGAAGGACAUUUAGGAGGGACACUAUCUCUAGUGGCCAGAAACCAUUUGAUAAUAACCUUUGGUGGCUUCUAAGAAAGGCGCUGGUUGAAAACCAAGAGCUAAGCUGGACCUCUGGAGCUUCAGGCUGCCCAAGAUUUAAAAGAUUCUUUCUUUUUCCUGCACUAUCUGUCAGGCAUAAACCAGAACCAGAAGUGAUUAUAUGUUUUUGCAGAACUACUGGGAUUUGCUGUGAAAAACAUUGUUCUUGGGGCUACAUAAAAAUAUCCAGUCAUAACUAACUGCCUCAGUGGACGCUUUUCAGGUUAAUGAUUUCUGGAGAGGAGGCAUCAUGAUUCAGUCUUUCAAACAGGUAUUGUUAAGGAUUAAAUUAUGAGUACUAUAAUGGGGGAGAGGUAGAUGAGGCUUUUAGUCGUCUCAGGUUUCUCCUGGCACCAUCACCAGAAAUCAUGCUGACUGGUUUACCCACAGCGUUUCCAGAGACAAAUCCAUUUCUUAGUCUCCCCAGUGGGUUAUUCUGCUAGUGCUGCAAUAGGCUAUUCUGCAGGUGUCUGUCCAGUUGGUGCUCCUAAGAGACUAUUGACUUCAGGUGGGCUCUUUUGUCUUUGUAUUUUGCAAUACUAGCUUAGCCCACAGUAGUUACUUUGUGGCUUCCCAUAGUUGCUUCUCAUUCAAACUAGAUCGUGGGCAGAUAGAGUGACAGAGCAAAAAUUUGCCGAUCACUUUAUCUGCAGAGCAUUGUGAUAAAACCCUUGCAGAUAUUAUCUUAAUUAAACCUCUCUCAACUUAUAGGUGGUAAGUAUAACUAUCUUCUCAGAUUUACCAAUAGUCUUACCGAAAUUACGAAAGGUGCUUAUGUCAGAGUUAAAUGGCCGAGCCAUAGUCAAUACAGCUCUGAAGUAUGGAUACAGGGGUGAUCUCUUAUGCAGAGUAGAUAGGGUGUUUCUUACUUGGAUUUCAUGUUACCUGGUUGUUUGUAUUUUGGUUCAUUUUAUCAGUCACUCUGGUUACAGCUCACUCUGCCCCUCUCCUGCAAUUUUGAUAUUUCUGGAAAGCAUCAAAGGAAAUAGUGAAGAACCGGAGUGAAUGGAUGACAGUGUUUGUGUGCGUGUGCGUGUGCAUGUGUGUGUGUGUGUGUGUGCACUCGCGCGUACGUGUGCAUGGAUGUGUAUGCAUGUGUGUGUGAGCACGUGUAUGAAGGCCUUUAUGGCUCUAGACAACUGUCUCCUCACAUGCUUUUGCACACACACACAGGCACAGACACACGCACACGCACAGCAGCUUCUUAUGGCUAUGCAGGUACCAAUUCUCAUUCUAAUACUCUGUGAUUCUUGGUCCUUCCCAGAUUCUGUUGGUGUCCAGGGGCUCUGCCUUUAAAAAUCAUAGUAUUUCAAGCACUCAGCCUUAUUUCCAAGGUUCUACAUACAAGUGUUCCCUCCUGUUCUGUGAUCCGUACCGUGUGUAGGUCUCCAUCUCACCCUAGUCUGUGUAGUCUAGACUCUAGAACAGACUUAGCAGUUGGCCUCUAUCCUUUCUCCUCUAACCUCUUAUCCUCUAGCUUAAAGACUCUCUCUCCCCAGGUUGUACCUAGAGCCCCUUGGAAGGAGGGCUGAGUGCUUGAAAUACUACAAUUUUUAAGACACAGGCAUGUGCCAGAAAGGAGCAGCGUGAGACAUGACCAGAGUGAUUGACAAAUUUGGUGUGCCUCACGCUUAAUAAAAUGAGACAAACUACAGACAAUGGAAUAACAUAAAAUGCAAGGCAGAAUUAUCCUACCACUACUCUGAGUGACAACUCUGCUACCUCCCCUUUCAGCGUGGGCUUUGCCUCCCAUUCAGUGUUUGCAUACUUAACACUGUCUCCUAGGCUUCUUUCCUCCAGAUUCUGUCAGUAUCGUUGUCUUGAGGGUUGAAACAUUGCAUCACACAUGCCCAGCAUUGAGGACAACAUUUGUAAACUAAAGUAGCUCAGGAUCAUGGUCCUAGCUCCCUCUGGAUGCUUUGCUGUACCCCUCCAAGGAGAAGAACAUUUUCCUAGUCCUGGAAUCUCUUCCUCCAACAGAGGUCAUAUAUUAUUCAUGUUUGCAGGCCUCUUCUGAAACAUAUGCAUAUUCAGGUAGGGAAGAGAGUAGUUCCUGGGAAGGGAUUAGUCCCAGGCAGGCCAGCAUGGCUGUUCUGUUUUGUGAUACAGUUUUCCUUUUAGGAGACAAAUUCUAUCUGUGAGCAUGCAUAAACGACCUCAGUGUGGAGGGUAAAUUAACUGUUUAGAUUCCCACCAGGCACUGUGGCAAACGCCAGGAUAUUGAUUUAUGUCUCAUUAGAAGGCAUUUAUUUAGCUCCACUCUUGCAUGAUUUGUAUUUUCCUUCUCUUUGAAGCUUUGAAGCUGUCCACUUCCAAACUCAAGAGGUUUCCCAGCUGCAAUACCCUGCUGUGGGAUGGGCUGGGGCUCCAGGGUGUCUUCUUACUGAUUGGUUUCAGUUUUUAUAAUUACAUUACUGUGUGGGAGUUGGGGGUUGGACACAGGUGUUGGGGAGGUGUCUGGGUCGGAAUCCAGUUUGUUAGAGUUUGUGCUCUCCCCCUAUCACGUGGAUUCUGGGUUUGCUCUAAGGUCUUGUAGGUAAGUGGCUUUCCCUGCUAAGUCAUUUUUUCAGCCUGGAGUUUUGUCUUCUGUGGUGUGUUUUAUUUGCAACCCUAAUUUCUAUAAGCACCAACUGAAGGCAAGAGUUGAAGCUCUGCUGGUAGAACAUUGCCUAGGGGACACAAAGCCCAGAGUUUUGACCUUGGUGCCACACAAACAGGGUUUAGUAUCACACCUGGUAUCCCAGUGUUUGGGAGGUGCAGGCAGGAGGAAUAGAAGCUCAAGGUUAUCAUCAGCUACAUGAGACUGUGUCUCAAAAAAUGAAAAGAAACCUUAGCAAUUGAAUAUAGCAAAUCACAGAAGGGACGAACACUGACCUGAUUGGGGAGGAGAGGGUUUAUUUGGUUUACUGUCCUGGGUCAGACAGAGCAUUAGGGGAGCCAAGGCAGGAACUAAAGCAAGACAGGAACCUAGGAGGAGGUAGGAACUGGAGCAGAAGCCAUGGAGGAACAUUAAUAUUGGCUUGGUUCCUCUGUCUUACUCAGCCUGAUUUCUUACACAACCAGAGAUGAUACCCUAGGGUGGUAUCACCCAUAGUGAACUGCUCUUCCUCCCACCAAUCAUUAACCAAGAAAGCGCCCCUCCCCCAGACUUGCCUUCAGGCAUGUGUGAUUGAGGCAAUCUCUUCUCAGGUCUGCCUCAGGGUGACGAAAUCCAGCCAGUACAGCAGAGUAUCGUGAAUACACUUGGGUACAGGUAGUGGCUCGUGGACAGUGCACAGAAUGAGAGAGAGAUAGAGAACUGAGGAAAACCUCAACUCUCUUCAUUAUUGCAGUAGAAACCUAGACUAGAAUGAUGAAUACUUGCCCCAGUGAACAAAGAUCUCGUUAUAUGAUUCACUGGAUCUUAAUACCUCUUUUUAGCCAUUCCCUCUUAUUCUUGAUUGUUGACUUUUGAGGAAAUUACAUAGUCUGGGAUAAUUUGAGCUUUGGUAUUUCGUGCAAACACAGGAUUGAUAUCAUUGGCUAGGUCCCAUUUUCCAGAGUCAUUUUUUUUCUCCAUCUUUAUUAAAUUGUGUAUUUUUUAUUUACAUUUCAAUUGUUAUUACCUUUCCUGGUUUCCAGGCCAACAUCCCCCUAACACCUUUCCCCUCCCACUCUAUAUGGGUGUUCCCCUCCCCACCCUCCCCCCAUUACCGCCCUCCCCCCAACAAUCACGUUCACUGGAGGUUCAGUCUUGGCAGGAUGAAGGGCUUCCCCUUCCACUGGUGCCCUUACUAGGCUCUUCAAUGUUACCUAUGCAGUUGGAGCCCAGGGUCAGUCUUUGGGUAGUGACUUAGUCACCUGAAGCUCUGGUUGGUUGGCAUUGUUGUUCAUAUGGGCAAAUAUUCUUGCAUUCCAUGUUUGCAUCUCAAGCCCCUUCAAGCUCUUUCAGUCCUUUCUCUGAUUCCUUCAAUGGGGAGGUCCCAUUCUCGGUUCAGUGGUUUGCUGCUGGCAUUCACCUAUGCAUUUGCCAUAUUCUGGCUGUGUCUCUCAUGAGAGAUCUACAUCCAGUUCCUGUCAGCCUGCACUUCUUUGUUUCAUCCAUCUUAUCUAGUUUGGUGGGUGUAUAUAUAUGGGCCACAUGUGGGGCAGGCUCUGAAUGGGCAUUCCUUCAGCCUUCCAGAGCCUUCCUAAUCCGAGCUUUCUCUUACGGUUAGGAGUCAUCUCUCACAUGGCUGUCCUCUUCACAGCAAGCGUACCAUUGACACUGAGAUAGUAGGUGACUGAGCUGGCAAGAGUAGUGCCACAUCCCAGCAGAAGAUCUCGAGUUUCAGGAUAGCUGGGACUAUCUGGUGAGACUCCUCUGAGAAAAGAGAUUCUUGGGAAUUAACAGGGGUUCAUGGUCUACUCUACAGAGAAAAUGAAGAUCUGUUCCCAAAUACUGAGCCUCAUUUUGAUUAAUACAUUUGUAUCUUACCCAUGUUGAACUUUUGCUCAAAAAUUGUUUUAGACUUGGUCAUUAAAAAGUACUGAUAGAUCUAUCAUCCUCUGUCAUUAAUACAUUAGUCCAUGUGAAUCAGAGUACACAGAGAUGUUUGUAAGACAAAGUUUCUUGUUAGCAUGAAAUUCUUGCCGUGGCUUUGCCAACUUUGGGCUGUAUGAUCUGAAGAUUAGCUAACCUCUCAAAACCAACUUUUUCCUCACUAAGAUCUAGCACAGCUACCACCCCUAUCUUGCAGAGCACAGUGACAACUGAUAAGCACUGGUGUAGGCACGGCUUGUAGAAAUCAGUACUAUUUAAGUGUUUUAGGAAUUUUAAGCUUAAGUAAGCUUGAGUCCGAUUUAAGUUUUCAUUCACGUCGAGAAAGCAUAAAAUAUUCUUGCAUUCCAUGUUUGCUCUCAAGACAGCCAGGAUUUUGACAGAAUAUUUGAUUUGGGCUUCUGGAGCAGACAUAUAACCUGAUGGCUUAGUGUUCCAUACACAAUGCCAAACAAAAGGCAGCUUAUAACAAAGUUCCUGUAUGGUAUUUAUCUCAGUUACUUAGAAGCUUUGCUUCUGUUUGACAUAGCAUGGAAAGUUUGGCUUUGAUCGUUAAAGUCUUUUGAUUUCAAUAUGAAUUCUGAAGGAGGAUGAAUGGACUGGUUACAAUCCACUCUUUCCACUGUUCUUAGACUAAGCAACCUGGGGAUUCCUGGGGCGUGGGCUUUUCACAUCAGCAGCAGGCUGGCCCUGGACAAUGUCUGGCCAGCCACGGUCAGAGGUGACCAUUCCACAGCCUGCUCCUCAGCGCUGGAGCACUCCUUCCACCAUGCUGCAGCCCUGGAGAUCUGUACUGAGGACAGUUGCAAUUAUCACAAUGAGAAUGGAGAGGAUGUAGAAUACCCACCAAUUGAACCAGGGCAGGCCCUGGAAGGCCACAGCAGAAUCGAUGUAUUGAUGUGUCUUUCAAAUCAAAGGCUAAUUCGAGCUUUGUGGAUGUUGGCACCACGUCUCCAGAGUCUGAUCACGCUUCUCCUUUGCCACACCCAGCACCUGGUAACUGGCCAUCCUACCGGGAAACAGAAUCGGCUUCUUUGGUCUGUCAAAUCAAACAGGGGCCACCUGUGGGAGAGGUAGAGGUCCUGGAUUUCAAGGACCCAGCAUUGCUUUUGGAUCCAAUGGGCACCAGAACCCCAGCUCCUCCACAGGCAGAUGCAGCUUUCCUAACUCCAGGCAGGAAAGACCUUGGGAUCAGAAACACCCAGUCCUAUCCAGAGUCACGGCCAGUGCUUUCACAGCCAGAUGUUCCCGUCGCUCCUUUGGAAGGAGAAAUCCUAAUUACCCCGAGUCUGGUACAUGCCACCCCUGAGUGGAGGGAGGUAUGUGGUAGGUCUGGAUGACCACGUGAGUUCUAAAGCUCAAGGCAAGUGCAUUGAAAAACUGGGCAUUUGAGGUUUUGUUUAAAGAAAAUAUAGCAGAGUUGACAAACUAGACAUGGUCAUUCACCUGGGCCCAUCCCUGUACCGGGCAGGCUGGGACAGGCUGGGGCAGGCUGAGACAGAAAGAUUUUCUAGGUUCAAGAGUAGCCUGGGCCAUAUAGAGAAUUGUAGGCCAGCCUGGAUUAUACAGCCAGCUCUCCUCCCAAGUGUAAUGAAAAAUUUCGGUUUGCAAGUUCAGAGAAGGUGAGCUAUGUCGAGGCUUCAUAGGCAUUGCAGGAUGGAGGGUACAGCCAUUUAGCUUUGACUGUGAUAGUUAGCUGUGCAGGCUUAGGCAAACAUGCUGAAGAGCCUUAGGGAGAGAACAUGGUAUAGACACCUGUGUCUGCUAUUAAUUCUGGUUCUUGUCCCCACAGCUGUGGCCUUCCCCUCCCCUGAACCACCUUAACCUGGUUCUGUGACUCACUAGCACUAAAGGUAGCAGGAAGAAGGCAGGGGAAUGCCCAGAGGGAACAACCUUUCAUCCACCCUGAUGGACUGGGAAACUGGUCCUAGAUUCAUCCUCCCCCACACCUAUCUCCCGCUCUCCCUGCUCAAUGAUCUCUGCCAGGAGGAUGUGUCAGAGGUCAUACCUCUCUCCACAGCAUUUCAACUUCACAGUUUUUCUGUCCGUGUAUUGACAAAAACAUUAACCUAGCAGAGAGGACCUUCUGGUUCUGCUGGGACAUUUUCUGCAGGUUCAGGGGUUGUUUAGAGAAAUAGUUCAGGAGGGAAGAAAACACUUUGUGUUUAACAGAGUAUAGAGUAAUAGUUAGGGGAGGACCGUUGUUGUCAAGUUUGAAUCUUGGCCAUGCUAAGGCAAGUUAUUUCACCCUCAGGUCUCUGAUUUUCAUUUAUAAACGUAUUGCCAGGAUUUGUUGUUAGUAUGUUAUGUUUUGAGUGCCUGCAUUAGUCUGUUCCUCAGAAGACAAUUAAGACCAUCAUUACUAAUCUUUAGAGGAUUUAAAACAUAGCAAACUGGAGGAUGGGGGUGGGGAGUGAACAGCUGGGCUGGAAAACAGAGAAACUGAAAACAGAAAGUCUCAUUAAAAAGCUUUGGCCUCCUGGCUCCUUUUCUGCUUGAUGGAGUUUGAUGAGCAUUUGUUUUUGUUAAAGCCAAAGGCAUGGAUUUCUUUUAAAAGUUCUAGAACUUUCAAAUUCUUCUAACAAUCUCCUAAAAUAUUCAGUGUGAGUUUUUUCUAUCUAAAGAGAUUUAAAGGCACGAAUCAAAAAUUUCCUCAAAGGGAUUUAGUGUUACAGAUGGGUUUUUGAGUGGCCUUUUGUUGGGGGUUGUAUUUUCCUGGCCCAGGAAGAGCACACAGUUAUUGGAAAGUGGUUGUAUGUACAGUUGUCUGAAACCUGAGGAGCGGGCUAUGGCCCAGCACAAAACUGUAAACUGAUGUAAAACCUUCAGAGAGUUUUCUUUUGCAAUCGGUCAUGGUUCUUGAAGCGUGAACUUUGUAGAUGAUAAUGUGUCAGGUUGUGUGUGGCUGUUUAAGAGCUCAGAAAGGCCUGAAAUGGAACCAGUCACUGGGAACUGAGGGUAACAGCAUAACCCAGGAGGGACAUGAUCUGUGGUAUUUAAUCAGCUGCCAAAUGUAGUCAAUGCUGACAUCUAAAUGCUAGAAUGGUUAUGAAAAAGACUUUCAGGGGGAGAUUGUCCAACUGGAAGCUACUAAGUCUUAGAGGAGAAAAAUACUUUUAAAUUUUAUUUAAAAAAAUAUUUAUGUGUGUUCAUGUGUACAAGUUCAUGUGUGGGAAAGCCUAGCCCUUAAGAAAGAAUGUUUGGUGAGCUGUGUGAACCAUAGAAACAUGUAAUUGUUAUUAUUUAUGUUCAGAGGAAACACUGUUCUCCCGGAGGUUUAUCCAGCAGCUGUGGGCUUACUCUGGGCAGCUGUUGACAUGGGGCUGAGACCUUCUAGUACCAGCUCAAGGUAGGAAAUUCGAGGCUUCUGGUAGUGGAUGGACUUGAGUUACCCCGCAGCUCUGUUGUGUAGUUUGAAGACAGAUGCUGUUUGAACCUUAUUUUCUGAGUAGAGAGCACCCUUCUCAAUAAAUUUUAACUUCCCCUUUAAGCAUAUAGGAUUUGGUUUGCUGAGUCAGGGAAUUAGGAUUUUGUUAAAGGCUCAGAAAAUUUCUCUUCUUUUUAGUAUUGUUUUCAUUAGGGUGUGUGUGUGUGCGUGCGUGUGUGCGUGUGUGUGUGUGUGUGUGUGUGUGUGUCUGUGUUUGUGUGUGUGUCUGUGCACGCCUGCCUGCCUGCCUGCCUGUGCAUAUGUAUAUGUGUUGUAUAGGCCCCAUAGGCAUAGGAAUAGGAGAGGUGCUCUGAAGUGGCCCCAGGGCAGCUUAUGCUGCAUGAUGGUAUAGACAGGUUCCAUGUUGCCACCCUGAGCAGUGUUUCUGUGUCCUGAGAGCGGGCUGCAGCCCUGUUCAUAUUGGGAGCUUUCAAUUCCAGGCUGCAGUAGGUUUUUGGUUGUCACAGCAGAGAGUAUCUGCAUUCUCACCGCCAGGGAGGUGGACUCCACUUGCACACACAGAGAGAGAGAGAGAGAGAGAGAGAGAGAGAGAGAGAGAGAGAGAGAGAGAGAGAGAGAGAUUGAUUCAGGGGGAAAGGCUGUAGCGCAUUUGUUAGUCUCAGUAGACUGAGCAGCUGUGAACUUUCCCUUCACUAAGGCCAUCCCUAACUCAAGCAUCAGGAACUGUUCCCUACAGCUUUUACUCUGGACUGAGCUCACCCUCCCUGUUGCCUGCCCUGAUCCUCAGCUUCCACCUGGUUCCCAGCAGCUACACAAACAGACCAGUUCUUUUAGUCUGAGGCAGGGAUUCUGUUGCAGCUUUCAACCUGGAGUAGCAAGCGCUGCUGAGGUGCUGGGGUCCUCGCAGCUGGGAGAACUGAAGUAGAGGAGGAAGGUGUGGCCAGGUCGAAAGCUCUGGGCCAGGGUGUGGUGGUCUCACAGGUGGCCAUUUCUGAGCACAGUCUCCACUGCUGUUUCUCACCCCCUGGCUUCUGAUACUCGAAGGCCUCUUCUGACAUUCCCAUUGUGACGCAGGAAGGGGAGGGUUCUGUGGGCAGCAAGUAGACACACCACCCAAUCCGGAUCAGGCGACCCAAGGGUGUCUGUUAGCCCCGCCUCCGCCCCUCCCCCAUGUCCCACCUCCAGACUGCUGCCAAGCUGCUCAAGUGGUUCUAGCUGUUGGUGGGGUCCUGCAGAUGUGAUAGGCUCCUCCUCUCCAGCCCCUCCUCCCCACCCACCUCUCAGGCCCUCCUGGGAUAGCUGUCCUCCUCUGGGGCCCUGUACUUGCUCCCAGCCAUGGUGGCUAGGCUCACUGCUCUCCUCCUUUACCUCGUUUUCUCCUUGGCCAUCCUGGUCCAGACAGAGAGCCACUUUAGCACCACGACUAGAAGGACAGGAACAACCAGAGCCUCAUCAAAUCCAGCAGAGAGAGGGGACCACAUCACCACUACUACAACGAGAAGGCCAGGAACAACUAGAGCACCGUCAAAUCCUAUGGAACUUGAUGGGUUUGACUUGGAAGAUGCCUUGGAUGAUCAGAACGAUCUAGAUGGCCCCAAAAAGCCAAGUACAGGAGAAGGAGGAGGUUGGUCAGACAAGGAUCUCGAAGAUAUCUUGGGAGGCGGGGGAUACAAACCUGACAAGAAUAAAGGAAACUCCAAGACCACCAGUGUUUCAAGGUCUGGACCCGAGAUGGAGGAAGAAGAUGGAGGAGAAGAAAAUCGAACCGUGGUUUGCCAAGGUGCUGCGGUUAUCCGACGAGGGUGGAAAAGAAAGAAACGAUAUCUCACCUUGUUCAAUGACAUUUUGGUGGUAUCCAGUAAACUUUCCAUGGAACAGACCAUUUGGUGGUAUUUCUUUGUACAAAGAUCCAUUCGUGAAGCCAAGAAACACAACAAAAUGGAACUUCCCAUGCGGAUAUUCACUGAGAACAUUGCAGGCUGUGACACUCCUCUGUAUGUAACAGCAACAAACUUUGAAAUGGUGAAUGACAUAAUCAGCAAGUUACUACCAAUGAUAAGAAAGCAUAACAUUGAAGAUUACCAACUGUGGUUCUAUACUGGCCCUGGGAAAGCUCCAAGACUGCUUGCAGGGCAUGAGUGUCCGCAUGACUUUAGAAUGAUAAAUAUUCAAAAGAACUUCAGUUCACGGGACUUAAGAAAUUUUACAGCUUUUCCUUCCCUACCUGGGGUAAUCAUGAAAUAUCUAAACGCUGAUGUACAUGGGAAAUUCAUCUUGAAGCCCAGAAACUCAGCAAGAAGCCAGCAGCAAAAGAAUAUGAAGGAAAAAACUUUUAAGAAACAAAGAACUUCUAUAACAUCGCAGUUGGACAAGGGCUCUGUGCCCCACAGGACCAAGUAUGCACCACCCCACCAUUUAAAAAGGGAAGAAAACUGUUUGGAAGAGAACUCAGUUCCAUUUGUCAGGAUGGCAUCCUGCCUGCAGCAAUUCUGGACAUGCUGUAUCUACUAAAAAAGAAUGGGCUCACAACCACGGGUGUCUUUUUAGAACCUCCGAGUACAACUUUGUGCCAAACAGUAAAGGACAAAUUGGAUUCGGAAGAGGAGGUGGAUAUAAACAAGCAAUCAGUUAAUGUAGUGGCGUGGAUCUUUAAGGACUUCCUCCAAAACCUCAAGGGAAGUCUAAUGACUUCAAAACAAUAUGAUGAGUGGAUUGCUGUACCCGAAACGGUCAAUAUGAAGAGAAAUUAGCUGCAGUGCAGAGCUCCUGCAAUAAUGGAGUGACAAAUGAUAUUGGCAAAAGGAUUUCUCUAGUAGAAUUUAUGAUCGAAAAUUCUCCAAAAGUUUUUGGAGAGGACUUGGCUGCAGUGCGGCAUGGAAUAUCACUAUAUCAUCCUCCUGGAGGAAAGUCCUCAUGUUCCCAGAAUAAUGCAACAAAUAUUGGAAACAUUAAGGAAACCGAACAUGGACUCAGCAGCUGCCCCAUUGGGAGGACAUGCACUACUGGCUAUAUUACACUGCCGAAAAAUUCACAAAAACACAAAGGCAAUGUAUAUACUAACCCAAGAGUAACAUCUAUUAAUCCACGACAAGCAAAACAGAAAUGUUUGUUUGGCAAAUCUCUUUCGGGUCUUUUAGAAGACAAAAAGUUGCCUACUCCAAAACUUGAUAUGUUAUCCAUAAUUGCAGAGAAAGGACCAGAAUCAGAUCACAUAUUCGAAAUUCUACCUAAAGAAUCACACUGGUCCCUGAGGUGUAGGCUUGACAGUGAACGACACAGUGACUGGAGUGAAGAAUAUGUGCUUAUAACAGCAUCUGUCUUAAAGGAUUUUAUUAUUACCAUCGAUGGAAGCUUACUAACCUUGGAUUUUUAUGAAAAUUGGCGUAGCAUCCCAGAUGAAGGAACUCUGGCUGGAAAAAUUAAUGCCAUUCAAAGCCUUUUGCAACAGAUCCCAGAACCAAACUUUAUACUAUUAAAACAUCUUAUAUGUGUAUUAGUAAUAAUAAAAGAUUCUUCCAUGAAUAAUUUAGACAGUUACAUGUUGUCUCUGUGCAUAGCUCCACAUGUACUGUGAGGUCAGACUUCGAGAGAUUCAUUAUGUGGGAGUGACGUCUUAAGAAAGAAGUCUCUUAUACAAAUCAUGAUUGACAACUAUGAUCAAAUAUUUGGAAAUGAUGAUAUAUUUAGUAAACACGUUGACAAAAGGUCUGAAGACUUAAAGACAUACAAAGAAUCAAUAAAUUAUUCUGGAAAAUCUCCUAUUAUGACAAAAGCCAUAGCAGGACACAACUGGAAAACCAAUGAUAUUGAUGAAAAAUUUAAUAUUUCAUAUGCUGCACUGCAGGAAGAAGGCCCUACAGGUAAGACAAGAUUUAAUAUACAUGCCAAGCCACCAGUAUGUUCUGAUCCAACACCACCAAGAAAGAAAUGCUUAUUUGGCAACAAUCUUACAAGCAUUUAUGUCGACAGAAAGCUGCCUGCUCCAAUACGUGACAUGUUAUCCAUAAUUGCAGGGAAAGGACGAGAAUCAGAUCACAUUUCGAAAUUCUACCUGAAAAUUCACACUGGUGCCUCAGAGAGAGGAAUGACAGUGAACAACUCAUUGAAUGGAUUAAAGAAUGUGUGCUUGUAAUAGCAUCUGUCUUGAAGGACUUCAUUGCAAACAUUGAAGUAAGUUUACUUACUUCUGACUUAUAAGAGAAUUGGCUUAGCGUCCCAGAUGAAGGAACUCUGGUUGGAAAAAUUAAUGCCAUCCAAAGACUUCUACUGAAGAUUCCUCAGGCAAACUUUAUCCUUCUAAAGCAUCUCAUUUGGUAAUAGUAAUAAUAAGAGACUCAUCCAUGAAUAAUUUAGACACUAACAGGUUAUCUAUCCGGAUAGCUCCUUAUGUUUUGUGGGAUCAGACUACAAAGGACGCAUGGUUUGGGAGUGAUGUAUCAAGAAAGAUGUCCAUUAUACAAAUCAUGAUCGACAACUAUCAUCAAAUAUUUGGAAAUGAUAAUAUAUUUUAUAAAUGUAUUGACAGAAGAUCUGAGGAUUUAAAGACUUGUGCAGAUUCAAUAAAUUCUUCUGGCAAAUCACCUAUUAUGAAAGAAUUCCUAGCUGGCCACAACAAGAAAACAUGCGAUAAUGGUGAAAAAUUAAAAAUUUCAUCCAUUCCUCUGCAGGAGGAAGGUCCUACAGGACAGAACAGAACAACUACCACAUAUAAGUGGUAGAAGAUGACUGAAGACAUUAUAAGGUCAUUCUAUUUUAAUGUUCCCUUCUACCUUCCACUUAAUCAUAGCAGAACAAUUAUUACAACAUCCUGCUUCAGCAUUCAUAUGCUAUCAUAAUAAAUGUUAUAAUAAAUAAAAGUGUUAUUGCUUACACUCCAAUGUGCCUUGUUCAUGAUUCUCCAUAGUCUUUGGAAAGUGACAUUUUUCUGUCUCUGCCUCUACAGCCCAGUUAUACUACUUGCUUUCCCACCUCAGUUUCUAAAGUGCAGCCAAAACUAAUGACAUUAAAUAAUCCCUCAGAAUUGUGCCCAGAAUUCUGUGCCAUACAAAGUUCUAAAUAAAAUUCCAUUACCAAUCAAACUUAAUCAUCACACAUGAUGAAGUUAGAGAUGGAUCACGGUUGUUAGAUUAUACAAAAUGACCUGAAAAGAUCAGUGCUUAACCAACUGAGAUACAGGCUUUGUGACAUGAAUUUGGGUCAUCGAAACAUACUUUAGAACACAAACAAAACUGAGUAUUGUUGCACAAGCAUCUCUAGACCAGAAGCUUCUACCUGGAUGGAGGUGGGACUUGGAGACAGUAGUUAACAGAAGCUUAUUGGCCAGAUAUUCCUGACAUGUUGUUCAGCAAUGAUCAAAAGAGACCUUAUGACAAAAAAAAAAAAAACAAAACAAAACAAAAAAAUGGAGAAAGACCAAUACUGGAUUACUGGAUGCUCUUUUCAAAUCUAAAUAAACAUGCUUUAGACACACACAUGCACUCAUACACACAUAUAUUCAUCCUUAUACAUUACAUACACUCAGAAAUAUACAGAAGCGUACAGUAUAUUUGUUUUAUCUCUCUGCAUAACCUGAGACAUCAGCAUGAAAUAUUCUUUAUUCAUUGUCUAUGUGGAAAUGGUCUGUAAUGCAACUUUGAGAUAUGGAAAUCUUAGAGAAAACCUCCAGUAAUAUAAUUGAUAAUUUCCAUAUUUACCCUUUCUUGGUCCCUCCUGAAUUCCCAAUUAUAAUAAGUUCAAAAUGUUUUCAUUUAUUACUAUUAUUAUUUUAAAUUUUUAAUUUUUUUAUUAGAUAUAUUUCUUUACUUACAUUUCAAAGGUUAUUCCCCCUCCUGGUUUCCUGUCC